GCGGAGGCCAUUGCUAUUGGGAUCCGAUUUAGCCAUGCUAGUCGCACGAGUUCAGACUCGUGGCGAAUAGCUCAGUAACACGUGGCCAAACUACCCUUCGGAACACAAUACCCUCGGGAAACUGAGGCUAAUAGUGUAUCCCAUACCACCACUGGAAUGAGUGGUAUGCCAAACGCUCCGGCGCCGAAGGAUGUGGCUGCGGCCGAUUAGGUAGACGGUGGGGUAACGGCCCACCGUGCCAAUAAUCGGUACGGGUCAUGAGAGUGAGAACCCGGAGACGGAAUCUGAGACAAGAUUCCGGGCCCUACGGGGCGCAGCAGGCGCGAAACCUUUACACUGCACGACAGUGCGAUAGGGGGAUCCCAAGUGCACAGGCAUAGCGCCUGUGCUUUUCGGUACCCUAAGGCGGUACCAGAAUAAGGGCUGGGCAAGACCGGUGCCAGCCGCCGCGGUAAUACCGGCAGCCCAAGUGAUGGCCGAUCUUAUUGGGCCUAAAGCGUCCGUAGCUGGCCGCGCAAGUCCAUCGGGAAAUCCACCUGCUCAACAGGUGGGCGCCCGGUAGAAACUGCGUGGCUUGGGACCGGAAGGCGCGACGGGUACGUCCGGGGUAGGAGUGAAAUCCCGUAAUCCUGGACGGACCGCCGAUGGCGAAAGCACGUCGCGAGAACGGAUCCGACAGUGAGGGACGAAAGCCAGGGUCUCGAACCGGAUUAGAUACCCGGGUAGUCCUGGCCGUAAACAAUGUCUGCUAGGUAUGGCACAGGCUACGAGCCUGUGCUAUGCCGCAGCGAAGGCGCUAAGCAGACCGCCUGGGAAGUACGUUCGCAAGAAUGAAACUUAAAGGAAUUGGCGGGGGGAGCACUACAACCGGGAGGAGCCUGCGGUUUAAUUG
rnacentral:rRNA from 1 species